AUUGAACGCUGGCGGCAUGCCUUACACAUGCAAGUCGAACGGUAACAGGUCUUCGGAUGCUGACGAGUGGCGAACGGGUGAGUAAUACAUCGGAACGUGCCUAGUAGUGGGGGAUAACUACUCGAAAGAGUGGCUAAUACCGCAUGAGAUCUACGGAUGAAAGCAGGGGAUCGCAAGACCUUGUGCUACUAGAGCGGCCGAUGGCAGAUUAGGUAGUUGGUGGGAUAAAAGCUUACCAAGCCGACGAUCUGUAGCUGGUCUGAGAGGACGAUCAGCCACACUGGGACUGAGACACGGCCCAGAAUCCUACGGGAGGCAGCAGUGGGGAAUUUUGGACGAUGGGCGCAAGCCUGAUCCAGCAAUGCCGCGUGCAGGAUGAAGGCCUUCGGGUUGUAAACUGCUUUUGUACGGAACGAAAAGCCCCGGGUUAAUACCCUGGGGUCAUGACGGUACCGUAAGAAUAAGCACCGGCUAACUACGUGCCAGCCGCCGCCGUAA
rnacentral:rRNA from 1 species